GCCUACGGGGGGCAGCAGUGGGGGAUAUUGGACAAUGGGGGGGAACCCUGAUCCAGCGACGCCGCGUGAGUGAAGAAGUAUUUCGGUACGUAAAGCUCUGUCAGCAGGGAAGAAAGCAAUGACGGUACCUGACCAAGAAGCCCCGGCUAACUACGUGCCAGCAGCCGCGGUAAUACGUAGGAGGCAAGCGUUAUCCGGAAUGACUGGGCGUAAAGGGUGCGUAGGUGGUUUGACAAGUUAGUAGCGCAACUCCGGAGCUCAACUUCGGAACUACUACUAAAACUGUUGGACUUGAGUGCAGGAGG
rnacentral:rRNA from 1 species